rnacentral:rRNA from 1 species
GACAGAGGUGCCGAGCGUUAGGCGGAAUCAUUGGGCGUAAAGCGCGCGUAGGUGGCUUCGUAAGUCCGUUGUGAAAGUCAAAGGCUCAACCUUUGAAAGCCGAUGGAUACUGUGAAGCUAGAGUACGGAAGAGGCGAGUGGAAUUCCUGGUGUAGCGGUGGAAUGCGCAGAUAUCAGGAGGAACACCAAUAGCGAAGGCAGCUCGCUGGGACGUUACUGACACUGAGGCGCGAAGGCGUGGGGAGCGAACAGG